UACGUAGGGUGCGAGCGUUGUCCGGAAUUAUUGGGCGUAAAGAGCUCGUAGGCGGUGUGUCACGUCGGCCGUGAAAACCUGCAGCUUAACUGUGGGCGUGCGGUCGAUACGGGCAUCACUGGAGUUCGGCAGGGGAGACUGGAAUUCCUGGUGUAGCGGUGAAAUGCGCAGAUAUCAGGAGGGACACCGGUGGCGAAGGCGGGUCUCUGGGCCGAUACUGACGCUGAGGAGCGAAAGCGUGGGGAGCAAACAGG
rnacentral:rRNA from 1 species